GAUUCCCCUAGUAACUGCGAGUGAAGCGGGAAAAGCUCAAAUUUAAAAUCUGGCGGUCUUUGGCCGUCCGAGUUGUAAUCUAGAGAAGUGUUACCCGCGUCGGACCGUGUACAAGUCUCCUGGAAUGGAGCGUCAUAGAGGGUGAGAAUCCCGUCUUUGACACGGACUACCGAGGCAUUGUGGUGCGCUCUCAAAGAGUCGAGUUGUUUGGGAAUGCAGCUCAAAAUGGGUGGUAAAUUCCAUCUAAAGCUAAAUAUUGGCGAGAGACCGAUAGCGAACAAGUACCGUGAGGGAAAGAUGAAAAGAACUUUGGAAAGAGAGUUAAACAGUACGUGAAAUUGCUGAAAGGGAAACGCUUGAAGUCAGUCGCGUUGGCCGGAAAUCAACCUUGCUUCUGCUUGGUGUACUUUCUGGUCGACGGGCCAGCAUCAGUUUUGACCGAUGGAAAAAGUCCAAGGGAAUGUGGCAUCUCAGGAUGUGUUAUAGCCCUUGGUCGUAUACAUCGGUUGGGACUGAGGAAUUCAGCACGCCGCAAGGCCGGGGUUCGCCCACGUUCGUGCUUAGGAUGCUGGCAUAAUGGCUUUAAUCGACCCGUCUUGAAACACGGACCAAGGAGUCUAACAUGCCUGCGAGUGUUUGGGUGGAAAACCCGAGCGCGUAAUGAAAGUGAAAGUUGGGAUCCUUGUCAUGGGGAGCACCGACGCCCGGACCAGAAGUUUACGGACGGAUCCGCGGUAAAGCAUGUAUGUUGGGACCCGAAAGAUGGUGAACUAUGCCUGAAUAGGGUGAAGCCAGAGGAAACUCUGGUGGAGGCUCGUAGC
rnacentral:rRNA from 1 species